AAAAAAUUAGUUAACUUUAUAACAUUAGCUUGUCAAGCUAAAAUUAUCUAUAAUAGAUAUUUUUUA
rnacentral:tRNA from 1 species